AUUUGGAAUGGCUACUGCAAGUUAAGUUGUAUUGUGUUAGACAGUGCUAUAGCUGACGCUCUAUCUUCCCUGAAACUUGGAGAUCUUAUUCUAAAGUCAGAGCAAGUAAAGGCUAUAAACCUGCUUUCUCAAGGUCAUGAUGUCUUUGUGUGGUUCCCGACUGGUUAUGGCAAAUCCAUAUGCUAUCAAGUGCUCCCAUUUGUGUUUGAUAGGCUGCUAGGUAGAUCUGAAUCUCCAAGCGUUGAUCAGAGUGUUGUGCUGGUAGUGUUGCCGUUGGUUUCUCUGAUGGUGGACCAAGUGAAGAGUUUGCGAGCUAGAGGAGUUGGUGCUGCCAUUAUCAGCUCCAACAGAGGGAUAGACCGUAGCCUGGUGGCUACUGACUGUGGUAUUGGCAGUGGGAGCUAUAGGAUUCUUUACUCAGCCCCUGAGGCUCUAGUUGGUGAUCAUGGCUCGAGUUGGACCAAAGUGUUACUGUCUCCUCCUGUCUGCAACACUUUGGUUGCUAUAUAUUGCUGUAGACGAGGCAGGCUCACUGUGUUUACAAAUGGAGUUCUUAUUUCCGUCCCUGUUAUGGUCGUAUUUGUGACUUGAGAGCCUAUGCUCCACCGGGUACGCCGAUGCUUGCAGCCACUGCAACAGUAACAGAGAAGAUGAGAAGGCAGAUUGUCGGAACUCUUGACAUGCGAGGGUGCAAAUUUGUUCGCUACUAUGGCCCUCGGUAUGGGUAUGAACUUUAAGGAUUUGACUUCUAUUGUCCACUAUGGAGCUCCAAGAUCACUUGAAGACUACUUUCAAGAAAGUGGUCGGGGAGGAGAAUUGUCCACGUCUACCAUAUACUGGUCACCAUCAGAUGUCCCCAAUAGGAAAGACAAAACGACCCCAUGUGAGCUGGUGGACUAAGUCAGGUGGCAGAGAAGCAAGUUGAAAUUGAAGCUUAAGCGAUUCGAGUGCAUACUUCGUAUUCCUAUUCGCAAAGAAGUGGAUUUUCCAACAUCUUAGCAUUCGUAGUCCAUCACCUUCGUGCCAACCAUUGUAGAACUCUGAAACAAGAGCAGGAAAGUGACAAAGAACAUGCGCAUAAUUGUUGACAACAUCACUACUGUCAUUAAGGGGCUGUCCAAGAAUCGCUUCUGGUACUAUAGUCCACUUGUCAACAAUUGCACUGGCAACGUCUGAAAGUUUGACUUUAACCUUAGCUCCAGUGCUGUCAAGUGGAAAGUCGUCUACACUCUUUAUGCCAAGUUCCAAACGAGCAGCUUCCACUAGAUGCCCAUAAAACGCUGUAAGAAGACCUGCGUGGAGAUUCUUCUUUGGUUUGUUUGCAUCAGGGAGUCGACCGAUCUUGUGCCGAAGUGUGCCGUGAUCUCUUGGGCUGGUCUUAAAGAGGUGUUUCCAAACAAGCUGCAAUGUAACACCCUAUAGGUCACAUUACUAGCCAUGCAGUCCAUACCAUCAAGAAAUUGAGGAGACAGUGCCAAUCUGCUAUACAUGGCUCUAGGUGAUGAGACGACCAGAGGGUGUGUUAGAGCAAAUAACGUGUCUUUUGCUUCCGUCCUGCCUCUCCUUCGUGAGUAGGUCACCCACCGACAAACAUGUGUUAGCGCUGUCUC